GAUGAAGAACGCAGCGAAAUGCGAUAAGUAGUGUGAAUUGCAGAAUUCAGUGAAUCAUCGAAUCUUUGAACGCACAUUGCGCCCCUUGGUAUUCCAUGGGGCAUGUCUGUUCGAGCGUCAUUUGUACCUUCAAGCUUUGCUUGGUGUUGGGUGUUUGUCCCGAGGGACUCGCCUUAAAGUAAUUGGCAGCCAGUGUUUGGUUUUGAAGCGCAGCACAAGUCGCGAUUCAAGGCUACACGCCCGCUUCCACAAGCCUUUUUUCACUUUUGACCUCGGAUCAGGUAGGGAUACCCGCUGAACUUAAGCAUAUCAAUAAGCGGAGGA
rnacentral:misc_RNA from 1 species